GACGUAGGAGGCGAGCGUUGUCCGGAUUCAUUGGGCGUAAAGAGCACGCAGGCGGUUUGGCAAGUCGGAUGUGAAAACCCGAAGCUCAACUUCGGGCCUGCAUCCGAAACUGCCCGACUAGAGGUAGGUAGGGGAGAUCGGAAUUCCUGGUGUAGCGGUGAAAUGCGCAGAUAUCGUCAAGAACACCAAUAGUGAAGACAGCUCACUAGGCUCAAACUGACGCUGAGGCACGAAAGUGUGGGGAUCAAACAGG
rnacentral:rRNA from 1 species